AGAGCUUGCUCGGAAUUGACGUUUGACGCUUCGGAGUUGCGAACGGGUGAGUAACACGUGGGGAACCUACCCCUCAGCGGGGGAUAACACAUAGAAAUGUGUGCUAAUACCGCAUAAUUGCUUUUGUCGCACGACAGGAGUAUGAAAGGCGCAAUUGCGUCACUGAGAGAUGGCCCCGCGGUGCAUUAGCUAGUUGGUGAGGUAACGGCUCACCAAGGCAACGAUGCAUAGCCGACCUGAGAGGGUGAUCGGCCACAUUGGGACUGAGACACGGCCCAAACUCCUACGGGAGGCAGCAGUAGGGAAUCUUCGGCAAUGGACGCAAGUCUGACCGAGCAACGCCGCGUGAGUGAUGAAGGUUUUCGGAUCGUAAAACUCUGUUGAUAGAGAAGAACAAGAGGAAGAGUGGAAAGCUUCCUCCUUGACGGUAUCUAUCCAGAAAGCCACGGCUAACUACGUGCCAGCAGCCGCGGUAAUACGUAGGUGGCAAGCGUUGUCCGGAUUUAUUGGGCGUAAAGCGAGCGCAGGCGGUUGAUUAAGUCUGAUGUGAAAGCCCCCGGCUCAACCGGGGAGGGUCAUUGGAAACUGGUCAACUUGAGUGCAGGAGAGGAGAGUGGAAUUCCAUGUGUAGCGGUGAAAUGCGUAGAUAUAUGGAGGAACACCAGUGGCGAAGGCGGCUCUCUGGCCUGUAACUGACGCUGAGGCUCGAAAGCGUGGGGAGCGAACAGGAUUAGGUACCCUGGUAGUCCACGCCGUAAACGAUGAGUGCUAAGUGUUGGAGGGUUUCCACCCUUCAGUGCUGCAGCUAACGCAUUAAGCACUCCGCCUGGGGAGUACGACCGCAAGGU
rnacentral:rRNA from 1 species